GGUGCUGUAGCUCAGUUGGUAGAGCAAAGGAUUGAAAAUCCUUGUGUCGGCGGUUCGAUUCCGUCCAGCACCACUA
rnacentral:tRNA from 1 species